UGUUUUUUACCUGAAUAGAAUUUUGAAAAAGUUUCGAAUAUUAUUUCUAAAAAUAUUUCGCCAAACUACUUUUUUGUAAAAAUUUUGAAAAGUAUUUAUACAUUUUUUUCACCAAAAUAUCCUUUUGAUAAAAAUUGUGAAAAAUAUUAAAAAAUAAAUCAUAUUUCGAAAAAUUUAAAUUUUUUUUUUAAAUUUUAAAAAUAAUUACAAUUUUUUCCCACCGAAAUACCACAUCGAAAAAGAAAUUGAAAAGAAAAUAAAAAGUUUUCUCCAUAAAACCUUUGAAAAAUUUGUGAAAAAUAUUUAAAAUAAAUUAUAUGAUGAAAAAUUUUAAAAAUUAUUAAAAUUUAUCAAAUUAUAAAAAUAAAAAUUACUAAAAUUUUUUUUCUACCAAAAUAUCACUUCAAAAAAGAAAUAAAUAUUUUUCUGCAAAGAAAUUUUGAAAAAAUUUUGAAAAAAUUUUAACAAAAUAUUAAAAAUAAUUCAUAUAUCAAAAAUUUUCAAAAUUGUUAAAAAUUUAUAAAAUUAUUAAAAAUUUUUUUCCACUUCAAAAAGAAAUAAAUAUUUUUCUGCAAAGAAAUUUUGAAAAAAUUUUGAAAAAAUUAUAACAAAAUAUUAAAAUUAAUUCAUAUAUCAAAAAUUUUCAAUAUUGUUAAAAAUUUAUAAAAUUAUUAAAAAAAGAAUUUUGCACUAAAAUACCACUUCGAAGAAGAAAUUGAAAACCUUAAGUUAAGCGUGUAUGCAAUAUCAUUAAAAUGUAAAUAUUAUGCACGAAAAGUGUCGACUCGUGAUAAAUAUCCCCUUUUUUAACGCGCUGCUCAUAUCUUAAACGAACUACGAGUUACAAACGAUUUUUAUAUAUAGAUAAUGUAAGAAAUUAUCACUUUAUGAUGAAAUGUUAGCGUACUUAUAGGAAAUACUUGUGAUGAAAAUGAUAGUCAUCUGUUGUAAUCUUCUAACCUGACACUGUUAAUUAACAUAGUGGUACUUUUUCUACUUUACUCUUAACCAUAUAUGUAUGUGCAUUGCGCAUUUCUCGUAAUGCAAUGAAAUGUUUUCUCAAUAAAUAGAUGGAGUUGUGUUAUUACAUACAUACAUAGUAGAUCCUCACAUAUAUAUGUACAUAUGUAAUUAAUACGCUGACUAUAUGUGCUUAGUGUAGUUAGUAAGUAUUAUUUGUAAAUAUAUUAAAGUAAAUAAACAACUUUAGGCGAACAUACAUAUACAUAUCCGGACACUGCGACGGUGAAUGUCCGCUUAUCAGGAAUUUCAUUGUAUACAUAUAACUCUUUUUUGCUGUAAGAUCGAUUAAUACUAUUUUUGCGUUAAAACAUUAUAAUCGAUAACAAAUAAUAUCUAUAUAUGUGAUCAGAAACUGUUCAAUGAACACACACACUCAUCGAUACACAUACACUCAUAUACCAACCGAUCAAAUUUGAGUCGGACUGGUUCAUUUAAACUGCACAUUUUUUAUAUUUAAAUCAGAACGACAUGCGAAUCUGUACGUCUAAGAAACAUUAUUACUAUUUUUUUGUAAAAUUCCAUACUUUUACGAUACUUACUAUUAAUAAAGUUAUAUUUAAUUACUGAAAUAACCAAUUUUCUGGUUAGCGGUGUUAGUAAAAGUUAAGAAAGAAGCUUAGUCAUAUUCGAUGUUAUAAGCAUUGUUAUUUUCAUAAUUAAUAAUUGCAAACAAAUAAAUAAUUGCGAAAAAAUAAAUUAAAAAUAAAAAAAAUAUAUUAUUUGAAUUUUAA